AGCUAAUACCGCAUAACGUCGCAAGACCAAAGAGGGGGACCUUCGGGCCUCUUGCCAUCGGAUGUGCCCAGAUGGGAUUAGCUUGUUGGUGGGGUAACGGCUCACCAAGGCGACGAUCCCUAGCUGGUCUGAGAGGAUGACCAGCCACACUGGAACUGAGACACGGUCCAGACUCCUACGGGAGGCAGCAGUGGGGAAUAUUGCACAAUGGGCGCAAGCCUGAUGCAGCCAUGCCGCGUGUAUGAAGAAGGCCUUCGGGUUGUAAAGUACUUUCAGCGGGGAGGAA
rnacentral:rRNA from 1 species